AUACGUAGGUGGCAAGCGUUGUCCGGAAUUACUGGGUGUAAAGGGAGCGCAGGCGGGCGUGCAAGGCAGCUGUGAAAUCCAUGGGCUUAACCCGUGGGCUGCAGUUGAAACUGUAUGUCUUGAGUGAAGUAGAGGUAGGGGGAAUUCCGAGGGUAGCGGUAAAAUGCGUAGAUAUUCGGAGGAACACCGGUGGCGAAGGCGGCCUACUGGGCUUUAACUGACGCUGAGGCUCGAAAGUGUGGGGAGCAAACAGGAUUAGAUACCCUGGUAGUCCACACUGUAAACGAUGAUUGCUAGGUGUGGGGGGUCUGACCCCUUCCGUGCCGCAGUUAACGCAAUAAGCAAUCCACCUGGGGAGUACGGCCGCAAGGCUAAAACUCAAAUGAAUUGGCGGGG
rnacentral:rRNA from 1 species